AAGUGGAUUAGCGGCGGACGGGUGAGUAACACGUGAGUAACCUGCCUUAGACAUUGGGAUAGCCUCGGGAAACCGGGAUUAAUACCAAAUAAAAUCAUAAUGACACAUGUCAUAACGAUCAAAACUCCGGUGGUCUAAGAUGGACUAGCGUCCCAUUAGCUAGUUGGUAGAGUAAAAGCCUACCAAGGCGACGAUGGGUAGCCGGCCUGAGAGGGUGAACGGCCACAUUGGAACUGAGAAACGGUCCAA
rnacentral:rRNA from 1 species